rnacentral:misc_RNA from 1 species
GAGGGUUUGUGCAAGCUCUCUGGGCGGCGACGCUAGCCACGGAGCUGGCCUCCCUCCCUUCCGUCAGCUGCAAUAUACUACAAGCACUGGGCUACAGCUGCAGCUAGCCCAUGGGUACCGGGGACCAUGACAUCAAUGAGCUGGCUUUCACCUUGUCCAAGGCAGCAGCGGAACACUACGGGCGGGACCCUGGAUCACUGCACCGUGGAUGCCGUUCUGUACCCUGCACGGCACUGCGUGUGGCUUAAGUGGCCAAGCAGAGGGUCAUUGCAUGACUUUUAUGAGGCGCCGCUAGCCAUUGCUUCAAACCGCCCUGAAUCGUGGAUCAAGCCUUGCAAGAUGGAAGUUCUCUUUAGGCCCAGCGCCUUUUGUUGGAUCAAGUCUUGUACGCCAUUCCCUCGUGUCUUUCAUAUAGUAAAUUGUUGGUAUUUCUUUUA